ACGGGUGAGUAAUGCGUAGGAAUCUACCUAGUUGAGUGGGAUAGCCUAGGGAAACUUAGGGUAGUACCGCGUAAGCCCGAGAGGGGAAAGCAGGGGACCGAAAGGCCUUGCGCGAUUAGAUGAGCCUACGUCGGAUUAGCUUGUUGGUGGGGUAAAGGCCUACCAAGGCGAUGAUCCGUAGCUGGUCUGAGAGGACGACCAGCCACACUGGGACUGAGACACGGCCCAGACUCCUACGGGAGGCAGCAGUGGGGAAUAUUGGACAAUGGGCGCAAGCCUGAUCCAGCAAUGCCGCGUGUGUGAAGAAGGCCUGCGGGUUGUAAAGCACUUUCAGUGGGGAGAAAGAUCCUUGUACUAAUACUACAGGGGGAUGAUGUUACCCACAGAAGAAGCACCGGCUAACUCUGUGCCAGCAGCCGCGGUAAUACAGAGGGUGCGAGCGUUAAUCGGAAUUACUGGGCGUAAAGGGUGCGUAGGUGGUUACGUAAGUUAGGUGUGAAAUUCCUGGGCUUAACCUGGGGACUGCGCCUGAUACUGCGUGGCUAGAGUAUUGUAGAGGAAAGUGGAAUUUCCGGUGUAGUGGUG
rnacentral:rRNA from 1 species